rnacentral:tRNA from 1 species
GGCGCCUUGGCCGAGAAGUUAGGCAACGGUCUGCAAAACCGUGUAGACGGGAGCGUUACCCGUAGGUGCCUCCA